rnacentral:lncRNA from 1 species
GCGUGGGGAGCCGGUCUUGGAGCAGCGGGAUUAGCUUCUAAAGUCUCUUUCAUCUCUCCUAAGGAAGAAGCCUAGAAGAGGAGGAAGAGGAAAGAAAAGGAGUCAGGAAUGCCUCUUAGGCCCUCUGAUGUCACUUAAAUUCCAUCUCACAGUGACUGGUGCUGUGGAAUUUGUGAAGAGGCUCCAUUGGGAAGGGCUUAUACCCAGACAUGGAUGGAGACGGGGUGUGGGCCCCAUGGUGUCACUGCUCUUGGGCAGCAGGAAUUGAAGGAUUGUUUAAGGGCCAGGUCUGGAGGCACUGCCAGCUCUGUAGACUGGAUUAUGGAAGCUGCUCGUGGAAGUCUUAAUGUGCACAACUGCCUGAUAAAAUUUGGAAGAAGAGAUUAGGAAGAGGAAAUCUUUUCUGCCUGAUUUUAUACUCCAUUUGUAGUAAAUGUUUAACAGCAAGAGAUUCUUUAAACCAUUCUAAGUACAUCCAUCCUAUGGAGAUUGUGGUAUUCCUGCAGAGACUCUUGUGAAACAGAUGUUUCAGGUGAAAAUGGUAAGACUUGGGUAAUACUUCUUCUAGGAUGGGGCAUUUCCUAUUUUCUUAGAUCUCUCAAGGUUCCCCUGUUAUCCCCAGCUGCAGGGGUACCUCUCCUAUCAAGAACAUGUGAAAUUUUGCCCUCAUUAAAAAAAAAACAACAACUUGCUACUAUGUUUAUAUAUAUAUAUAUUUUGAAAAUCUGGGAAAAAUGACA